rnacentral:rRNA from 1 species
AUUGAACGCUGGCGGCAGGCCUAACACAUGCAAGUCGAACGAGUGGCGGACGGGUGAGUAAUGUAUGGGAAACUGCCUGAUGGAGGCGGAUAACUACUGGAAACGGUAGCUACAACCGCAUACCCUCGGAUGUGCCCUGAUGGGAUUAGGUAGUAGGUGGGGUAAAGGCUCACCUAGGCGACGAGCCCUAGCUGGUCUGAGAGGAGGACCAGCCACACUGGAACUGAGACACGGUCCAGACUCCUACGGGAGGAAGCAGUGGGGAAUAUUGCACAAUGGGCGCAAGCCUGAUGCAGCCAUGCCGCGUGUAUGAAGAAGGCCUUCGGGUUGUAAAGUACUUUCAGCGGGGAGGCGUUACCCGCAGAAGAAGCACCGGCUAACUCCGUGCCAGCCGCCGCGGUAAUAC